AAUUUAGGGAAAUAACUGCUGCCCUUCCACUUGCUGACAGUGAAGUUGUGCUCCUAAAAAUGUCACUCCAAGGCUCGCCUUGCCCAAGUUCUCGUCUCUAGCCUGCUCUUUGCCUUCGCUAGGUCGCUGGGCUGACAACAAGCAAGUGCAUCGAGUGGAUGGGAGGGGUCGGCUACACCAAAGAUUACCCUGUGGAGAAAUUCUUCCGCGAUGCGAAGAUCGGUACAAUAUAUGAAGGAACUUCCAACAUCCAGCUGAACACCAUUGCAAAGCACAUCGAUGCAGAGUACUGACGUCUGCGGCAUGGGUCCCCUGGUGUCACUGGCCCACCAUUUGCAACUGUUGUGCCUUAUUGAGUGUGUCUGUAGUGCAGGCCCCUUGUGUGAAGCCCCUUGUCCUGGUCUCAGCCUUGGGUUUUGUCCCUGCCCCUUUUCAAUCUACUCUAAAAACUGUUUCUAAGAACACAUUUAUAUUUCUCAUCCCAGUUUCAGAGUAUACAAAAGUUUGACUAUGCCAGCAUUUGGGAAGAAGAAACCGUUUGAAGAAGUAUUGGCAUCAUUGACAGGAACAGGAAACUGUUUGAAGAAGUAUUGGCAUCAUUGACAGGAACAGGAAACCGUUUGAAGAAGUAUUGGCAUCAUUGACAGGAACAGGAAACCGUUUGAAGAAGUAUUGGCAUCAUUGACGACAGGAACAGUCACUUUAUAUUCCUACUAAAUCUUUGGACUGUGGUAUGAGGAGCGUUUGUUACAGUUGGCAAUUUUUAUUCAAUACUUUAGAGAUUCAGUGGUAAGUUGCUAAACAAGGUAGAAACUGUUAAAAUUUAUUUGGAAAAAUCUAGAACUCUUAGUUCUAAAUAUCAAAGAAAUAGUAGAAAAGUAAAAAUGUAGCUUUUUAGGCCAUAUAAUUGACAACAACAAAAAGUCUAAACUAUUAUUUUAAACAACAAAAGCAGUAUUUUUGGCUGCUAUAAUUGAACUAUCUGAAAGAUAUAUUAUGCAGUGGCUUUUAGCAGCUCAUUUUAAAAACAUGUCCUCAUAUUAGUUUUCAGUUAUAAAAUUUAAAUAAUGGCCUAAUCAUCUGAAAAUAAUUUAUCUGAUCAUGCACUAUUUUUCAGUAGUAUGAUUUAUUUCUAUAUUUUAACUGAGUUUUUUUUUCUCAAACUUGGUUAUUGGACUUUAUCCUAAAUAGUAAUUAAUUGAGAAAUUCAAUUUUGGUUUUCAAAAUUGAUUCUUAAGAGAAAUAUACCCCCAUAAGGAAAUAAUAUCACAAUCUCAUAAGGAAUGGGGAAUACAGACUAGGUACAUUUUCAGGCACAUUCAGUGUAAAUAUAUGUAGUCAUUUAUACUGGUAUAUUAAAUAAUAUUAUAUUUGUGAAGACAGAGAUUUAUGUCUUACAAUGUAAAUGAAAAACAGACAAACCUAAUCAGAUAUCUGGCUGGUGAAGCCAUUGGUCAGUGUUAGGAAUUUCCAGUCAGGAGAAGACCCUCUAGUGCAGACCCUGAGUCCUCUGGAGAGAGUAGACAAACGAGUUUCACAUUUCCAGAGGAAACAUCACAAGUUAGAUGUGAAAAAUGCCCCAAGGCUCGUGCAGUUGCUGAAAGUAAUCAUUACUUCUAGGUAGAAAGUAUUUUAGUACUUUUGCAAAAGGAUAAUGUUUAUUAAGAAAACUUGACAUUUUCUAGGUAAUUUUGCUUUGCACAGUCAUGUUUAUUGAGCUAAAUUAAUUUCCACAAUGCAAAUCAUAGUUAAAUAUGCAAGGUUGUGUAAAUACAGUUGAGAUAAGGAUUACAUUAAAACAGUAGGAAGAAACAGAACAAAUUUAGACCUUGAAUCCAAAGAGAUAAAGUCUACUUGACUUUCAAAUGGGGGAACUGAAGAAAGCCCCUCACCCAGGCUUUCAGAACAGACAGAUGGGGAGAUAAGAAAGCCAGGGUGGGUUGCAGUGCCCUGAUGGGCAGACAUCUUCCACUUCUGUGCCCAUGUGAAGGAGGUAGCCUUACAGACGGGGCAGUGGGAGGCAAUGAGUAAACAGAGUCCUUCCUUCCUUCCCUCCCUCGAGUUAGAAACCCAGGAAAGGGUGAUAAACUCUCUGUCCUAACUCAGUAUCAGCAGGGACUGUCCGUUACCUAUUUGGACUUGCAAUGUGCCCAUAGCACUCUAAUUCUGUGUGUAUAUUUUGCACAUAUUCACAAAGGAUAGUUAACAUGCGUAAGUUACUGGUGUAAUUAAUGUAUGAACUCGCCUGCUUCUCUCCGUGAGUCCUUGCAUUGUUUCACCAAGGAGGAUGUCUGAGGUCUACUCAUAUUUCUUCGGACUUCCGUGACUUUGUAAUCUGUCAUGAAACCAUGUCUCUCGAGUUUGUGUCUGGUAAGGAACCACACGAUGUUUGUUAAUUUGAGGACUGAGAUGACACAGGGCACAGGAGUUAUAUGGUAUAUGCAGGUCGAAUUGGUUGCCAAGUUUGCGUUGUUAGAAAAAGACUGUACACAACCAUAAAAGCAGCUCUGUCAAUUUAAACUGAAAGACUUAACCAAGGCUGUCCUCUCAGAUCAUCCAUCCAAGGACAAAGACAAGAAUUCAGAUGGACCGGCUCAGAUUCAGUGUUUUUCCCAUUACUAAACACAGUCGUCGUUUGGCAGAUCUUGGAUUUUGUCCUUGUUUUAUUUUGUUGAUUUAUUUCAGGUUUACCUGGUAAAUAAUGAGCAUCAUAGUAAUGUUGUGAUUGAUCGGUCACUUGCUAAAGGCUCUUAGGCUAUAGCCCGGAUGUCAGGUCCGAAGAUGGCUUUGUGAGAUCAUUCUGCAUCACUGUUAUACUGUUUUAUAAGAAAUACUCCGCAGGGUGCUUAUGCUGAUCUGUCAUAAAGAGAAAGUUCCACUUAA
rnacentral:sRNA from 1 species